rnacentral:rRNA from 1 species
GAGUUUGAUCAUGGCUCAGGAUGAACGCUGACAGAAUGCUUAACACAUGCAAGUCGAUGGGGAAGUGGUGCUUGCACCAUGGUAACCAUGGCGGACGGGUGAGUAACGCGUAAGGGACUUACCUGCAGGACUGGGAUAACAGGGGGAAACUCCUGACAAGACCGGAUAAUGUCAUGGAGCUGCAUGGCUUUAUGAUGAAAGGAGACGCCUGCGGAGAGCCUUGCGUCCUAUUAGCUAGUUGGUGAGGUAAUGGCUCACCAAGGCGAAGAUAGGUAGCCGGCCUGAGAGGGUGGACGGCCACAAGGGGACUGAGAUACGGCCCUUACUCCUACGGGAGGCAGCAGUGGGGAAUAUUGGACAAUGGGGGCAACCCUGAUCCAGCAAUUCUGUGUGCACGAAGAAGGUUUUCGGAUUGUAAAGUGCUUUCAGCAGGGAAGAAGGAAGUGACGGUACCUGCAGAAGAAGCGACGGCUAAAUACGUGCCAGCAGCCGCGGUAAUACGUAUGUCGCGAGCGUUAUCCGGAAUUAUUGGGCAUAAAGGGCAUCUAGGCGGCCUGACAAGUCAGGGGUGAAAACCUGCGGCUCAACCGCAGGCCUGCCUUUGAAACUGUGAGGCUGGAGUACCGGAGAGGUGGACGGAACUGCACGAGUAGAGGUGAAAUUCGUAGAUAUGUGCAGGAAUGCCGAUGAUGAAGAUAGUUCACUGGACGGUAACUGACGCUGAAGUGCGAAAGCCGGGGGAGCGAACAGGAUUAGAUACCCUGGUAGUCCCGGCUGUAAACGAUGAUUACUGGGUGUGGGCAGGAAGACUGUCUGUGCCGAAGCAAAUGCGAUAAGUAAUCCGCCUGGGGAGUACGGCCGCAAGGCUGAAACUCAAAGGAAUUGACGGGGACCCGCACAAGCGGUGGAGCAUGUGGUUUAAUUCGACGCAACGCGAGGAACCUUACCAGAAUCUUGACAUCCCGCGAAUGCCUGUGAAGAUGGGCAGUGCCUUUGGGAACGCGGAGACAGGUGGUGCAUGGCUGUCGACAGCUCGUGUCGUGAGAUGUUGGGUUAAGUCCCGCAACGAGCGCAACCCCUGUUGCUAGUUACCAUCAUUAAGUUGGGGACUCUAGCAAGACUGCCUGCGAAGAGCAGGAGGAAGGUGGGGAUGACGUCAAGUCAUCAUGCCCCUUAUGAUCUGGGCUACACACGUGCUACAAAUGGGCUGUACAGAGGAGGGAGGCGGAGGCGGGGACGCGGGAGGCGAUUCUGGAAAGCAGUUGAAAGUUGGGAUGAAAUUCUGCAACUGGACUUCAGAAAGGUGGAAAUGGCUGGUAAUCGGGAUUCAGCGAGGCCGCGGGAAAUAGGUUCUGGGUUCUGGCACCCCACCGCCGGUCAC